rnacentral:rRNA from 1 species
AAAAGAAACCAACAGGGAUUGCCCCAGUAACGGCGAGUGAAGCGGCAACAGCUCAAAUUUGAAAUCUGGCCCCCAGGGUCCGAGUUGUAAUUUGCAGAGGAUGCUUUGGGCGAGGUGCCUUCCGAGUUCCCUGGAACGGGACGCCACAGAGGGUGAGAGCCCCGUCUGGUCGGACACCGAGCCUGUGUAAAGCUCCUUCGACGAGUCGAGUAGUUUGGGAAUGCUGCUCAAAAUGGGAGGUAUAUGUCUUCUAAAGCUAAAUAUUGGCCAGAGACCGAUAGCGCACAAGUAGAGUGAUCGAAAGAUGAAAAGCACUUUGAAAAGAGGGUUAAAAAGUACGUGAAAUUGUUGAAAGGGAAGCGCCUAUGACCAGACUUGGGCCCGGUGAAUCAUCCAGCGUUCUCGCUGGUGCACUUUGCCGGGCACAGGCCAGCAUCAGUUUGGCGCGGGGGACAAAGGCUUCGGGAAUGUGGCUCCCCCGGGAGUGUUAUAGCCCGCUGCGCAAUACCCUGCGCCGGACUGAGGUACGCGCAUCGCAAGGAUGCUGGCGUAAUGGUCAUCAGCGACCCGUCUUGAAACACGGACCAAGGAGUCGUCUUCGUAUGCGAGUGUUCGGGUGUCAAACCCCUACGCGUAAUGAAAGUGAACGCAGGUGAGAGCUUCGGCGCAUCAUCGACCGAUCCUGAUGUUCUCGGAUGGAUUUGAGUAAGAGCAUACGGGGCCGGACCCGAAAGAAGGUGAACUAUGCCUGUAUAGGGUGAAGCCAGAGGAAACUCUGGUGGAGGCUCGCAGCGGUUCUGACGUGCGAAUCGAUCGUCAAAUAUGGGCAUGGGGGCGAAAGACUAAUCGAACCUUCUAGUAGCUGGUUUC